AUGAACGCUAGCUACAGGCUUAACACAUGCAAGUCGAGGGGCAGCAUUAUCGAAGCUUGCUUUGAUAGAUGGCGACCGGCGCACGGGUGAGUAACGCGUAUCCAACCUUCCCCAUAGUCAGGAAUAGCCCGGCGAAAGUCGAAUUAAUGCCUGAUGUUUUCCACGGACGGCAUCUGAUGUGGAACAAAGAUUCAUCGCUAUGGGAUGGGGAUGCGUCUGAUUAGCUUGUUGGUGAGGUAACGGCUCACCAAGGCGACGAUCAGUAGGGGUUCUGAGAGGAAGGUCCCCCACAUUGGAACUGAGACACGGUCCAAACUCCUACGGGAGGCAGCAGUGAGGAAUAUUGGUCAAUGGGCGAGAGCCUGAACCAGCCAAGUAGCGUGCAGGAAGACGGCCCUAUGGGUUGUAAACUGCUUUUAUAGGGGAAUAAAGUGAGCCACGUGUGGUUUUUGCAUGUACCCUAUGAAUAAGGACCGGCUAAUUCCGUG
rnacentral:rRNA from 1 species